rnacentral:lncRNA from 1 species
UUUGAUAAAAAAAUAUUGUUUUCUUUUCUGAAAAGGGCAAUUAAAAAAGUCUAAAUUUGCACCAAAAUCUAUCCAAUUUGAUGAAUAAAAAAUCAAUAUUCACAGCCGUAAGAUUGCAGAAAUCAGAAAUUCGUGUGUGACAUCUCCUCUUUACCGAAUUUGCGAUCAUAGUUCAUUCAUUCAUUCAUUCAUCAUACAAUACAAUCAAACAAAACAAAAGGAAACAAAUUUUUUUCAUGAAUUGUUAGUUAUGCAUACCAAUAUGAAUGAUAGAAAUAGAAAUAUUAGCAGUUAUUAUUAUUAAUUACUCAUAAAGCGAGCGGUACAUAAACACCAAACAUAUAGAGAAGAAAAGAAAAGGUUCAGAAAAAGUGUGGCAGGCAAUGAUGCCUUACGCAAAAACCAUGAACGAAGAAACAACACCAACCAAAACCAAAGGCAAAAAACCUAAAACCACUUUUCAAACACUCUUUUCAACAAUGACAAGAAAACCAAUUCUCAAACGAA